rnacentral:misc_RNA from 1 species
CAACCCUCAAGCUCUGCUUGGUAUUGGAUGUCACCCUUGCAUUUGUGGUGCACCUCAAAAUCAGUGGCGGUGCCUUUUUGGCCUCAAGCGUAGUAAAAUUUUCUCGCUUUGGAGGUUUGGAUGUGCACUUGCUAACAAAGCAUAAUAUUUUCAAU